AUUGAACGCUGGCGGCAUGCCUAACACAUGCAAGUCGAACGGCAGCACAGUCUAGUUUACUAGAUGGGUGGCGAGUGGCGCACGGGUGAGUAACGCGUAGGAAUAUACCUUGAAGUGGGGGAUAACUUGGGGAAACUCAAGCUAAUACCGCAUAAGCUCGAAAGAGGAAAGCUGGGGACCGUAAGGCCUGGCGCUUUAAGAUUAGCCUGCGUCUGAUUAGCUAGUUGGUAGGGUAAAGGCCUACCAAGGCGAUGAUCGGUAGCUGGUCUGAGAGGAUGGCCAGCCACACUGGGACUGAGACACGGCCCAGACUCCUACGGGAGGCAGCAGUGGGGAAUAUUGCGCAAUGGACGAAAGUCUGACGCAGCAACGCCGCGUGAAGGAUGAAGGUGCUCCGCAUUGUAAACUUCUGUAGGGAGGGAAGAACCCCCCGUUAUUGACGGGGCUGACGGUACCUCCAAAGUAAGCACCGGCUAAUUCCGUGCCAGCAGCCGCCGUAAUAC
rnacentral:rRNA from 1 species